CCUACGGGAGGCAGCAGUAGGGAAUAUUGGUCAAUGGACGAAAGUCUGAACCAGCCAUCCCGCGUGCAGGACGACGGCCCUAUGGGUUGUAAACUGCUUUUAUACAGGAAGAAUAAGCCUUACGUGUAAGGUGAUGACGGUACUGUAAGAAUAAGGAUCGGCUAACUCCGUGCCAGCAGCCGCGGUAAUACGGAGGAUCCAAGCGUUGUCCGGAUUUAUUGGGUUUAAAGGGUGCGUAGGCGGUUUGUUAAGUCAGUGGUGAAAGUUUGCGGCUUAACCGUAAAAUUGCCAUUGAAACUGACAGACUUGAAUUUGGUUGAGGUUGCCGGAAUGUGUCAUGUAGCGGUGAAAUGCUUAGAUAUGAUACAGAACACCAAUUGCGAAGGCAGGUAACUAAACCAAUAUUGACGCUGAGGCACGAAAGCGUGGGGAUCAAACAGGAUUAGAUACCCUGGUAGUCCACGCCCUAAACGUUGAUUACUCGUUGUUGGCGAUACACUGUCAGCGACUAACGACGAAGACGUUAAGUAAUACCACCGUCGGGUAGGUACGGACCGACCGAAGGUUAGGUAAACGUACAAAUAGUAAGUUAGUACGGUUCGUUGUAGACGUUGCCGACGGACGACGACGAGGGAGGAGG
rnacentral:rRNA from 1 species